rnacentral:lncRNA from 1 species
CACCUAAAAUUAGUUUUUUUUUUUGCUUUUUAGUGUUUUGGGAACUCGGUUUAAUUUUUUUGUAAAAAGGUUAUUUAUUUAAAGCUUUUCAGUGAUACGAAUAGUUGUCACUAUCCAUACAAGUGGGAAGUUCUCAUCAAUACAAAGAAUAUAAGUCCAAACGAGGUAUUUUACAUAUUCAGUUGUCGAGUUCCCUCGACUUUCUCUGGUCUCCAUCAUCAGGUCAGCUCCAAACCUUCACUGUUGCAAAGGUCUUGUCAAUACAAAUAAUUUAAGCCCAAACACGAGGUAGUUUACAUAUUCAGUUGUCGAGUUCCCUCGACCCUCUCUGGUCUCCAUCAUCAGGUCAGCUCCAAAUCUUCACAGUUGAAUAGUGCUUUUAG